UACGAGGGGGGCAAGCGUUGUUCGGAAUUAUUGGGCGUAAAGGGCGCGUAGGCGGUCUGACAAGUCUUGUGUGAAAUCUCUGGGCUCAACCCAGAGUCUGCACAGGAAACUGUCGGGCUAGAGUAUGGGAGAGGUGCGUGGAAUUUCCGGUGUAGCGGUGAAAUGCGUAGAUAUCAGGAGGAACACCUGUGGCGAAAGCGGCUCACUGGACCAUAACUGACGCUGAUGCACGAAAGCUAGGGGAGCAAACAGG
rnacentral:rRNA from 1 species